GACUGAGUGGCGGACGGGUGAGUAACGCGUGGGUAACCUGCCUUAUACAGGGGGAUAACAGCUGGAAACGGCUGCUAAUACCGCAUAAGCGCACAGUACUGCAUGGUACAGUGUGAAAAGAUUUAUCGGUAUAAGAUGGACCCGCGUCUGAUUAGCUAGUUGGUGGGGUAAAGGCCUACCAAGGCGACGAUCAGUAGCCGGCUUGAGAGAGUGAACGGCCACAUUGGGACUGAGACACGGCCCAAACUCCUACGGGAGGCAGCAGUGGGGAAUAUUGCACAAUGGGGGAAACCCUGAUGCAGCGACGCCGCGUGAGUGAAGAAGUAUUUCGGUAUGUAAAGCUCUAUCAGCAGGGACGAAAAAUGACGGUACUUGACUAAGAAGCCCCGGCUAACUACGUGCCAGCAGCCGCGGUAAUACGUAGGGGGCAAGCGUUAUCCGGAUUUACUGGGUGUAAAGGGAGCGUAGGUGGUUUCAUAAGUCAGAUGUGAAAGCCCAGGGCUCAACCCUGGGACUGCAUUUGAAACUAUGGGACUAGAGUGCAGGAGAGGUAAGUGGAAUUCCUAGUGUAGCGGUGAAAUGCGUAGAUAUUAGGAGGAACACCAGUGGCGAAGGCGGCUUACUGGACUGUAACUGACACUGAGGCUCGAAAGCGUGGGGAGCAAACAGGAUUAGAUACCCUGGUAGUCCACGCCGUANACGAUGAAUACUAGGUGUCGGGGGUCAUAAGACUCUCGGUGCCGCAGCAAACGCAAUAAGUAUUCCACCUGGGGANNNCGUUCGCAAGAAUGAAACUCAAAGGAAUUGACGGGGACCCGCACAAGCGGUGGAGCAUGUGGUUUAAUUCGAAAGCACGCGAAGAACCUUACCAGGNNNNNNCAUCCCUCUGACCGGUCCGUAACGGGACCUUUCCU
rnacentral:rRNA from 1 species